rnacentral:misc_RNA from 1 species
CUGAUAUUCCAGGUGUGUUUCAUGGGAUUGAUUAGUAUCAUGAUAAUGCGAUAUUUAGUGUGUGUUUCUUCCUUUAUUUUUGAAAAAAAUAUAGUGCAUGUUUAAUUAUCUUAUUUGGCUAUCCAUUCUCUCAUGUAUUCUCCAAUGGGCAUUCUCUUAAAUUUAAAAAAGGGAAAGGAAUCAUAGUAAGAGAGAUAAUAUAGGAAGAAAUACGAGUGAGAUGUGAGAAUCUAUGCUAACAGGGAGAGUUCUCCAAUUGCAUUUGUAUCCAAGCUGCCUUGUCAUAGGCACAUUACUGGUUUCACCUCUGGAAAGUCUUUUCUUUCAGCUCUUUUCUCCUCCUACAAUGAUUACCAGAUUGGAGCAUUUUCAUGAGGUCUAUCUGCCUUUGCUUGUGUGGCAGACCUAGCGACAGGAGCCUACAGCACCUUUAAGCCUUUCAUCCUGCUGGUUUACUUAGGAGCAUAAGAAGGACCUUCAUAGUUAACUAUUGUCCUCAAUGAUUGUUUCUAACUUCUAGAGAGGAGCAUAAUCUGUUUCUAUUUAUCAUACAAAUCCCUGUACCUAGGUUUCUAUUGUCAUAGUAGUGCAGGCAGUUCCACAGACAAAGAGAUCACAUAUGAAAUUUAAAUUGUUUGGGCUCUGUUUGUUUCAAAAUGCAGGCAUGUGAAUUUGUGUGCUUGGCAAACAUAUUGUGAACAAGUUUUAUGAAAGAUUGUCUGGGUUCGUUUGUGAAGUUAAAAGGAUGAUUUUAAACAAAAAUUUUAAACUUAUUUAGUAAACAAACAAUCAUGAAUAUAGGUGGGUUGAAUGUGUUUGUGAGCAGGGUUGUUUUUAGGUACUUGCUUAAAAGAUGAUAUGUAGCCAACUUUAAACUAUCAAAAAUUGGUCGUCUUCUAAUAUAUUCAGUAAUUUUUUAAAAGUUAUAGUGUAUUAAGAGAUUGUUAGAAAAGUAAGUUAUAUGACCACAAUAAAUCAAUAGAAUAAAAGAUAUUUGUUUUAUAAUAUAGGUUCUUGAGCAGGGA